UACGAAGGGGGCUAGCGUUGUUCGGAAUUACUGGGCGUAAAGCGUGCGCAGGCGGCUUCUCAAGUCAGGGGUGAAAGCCCAGAGCUCAACUCUGGAAUUGCCUUUGAGACUGAGUGGCUUGAGUACGAGAGAGGUGAGUGGAAUUCCCAGUGUAGAGGUGAAAUUCGUAGAUAUUGGGAAGAACACCGGUGGCGAAGGCGGCCAACUGGUCCGGUACUGACGCUGAGGUGCGAAAGCGUGGGGAGCAAACAGG
rnacentral:rRNA from 1 species